rfam:Ixodes scapularis strain Wikel colony gcontig_1108379359258, whole genome shotgun sequence.
CCCUGGUUAGCUCAGUUGGUAGAGCGCUCCACCUGUAAUGGAGAGGUCCCGGGUUCGAUACCCUGACCAGGCG